AGAACGAACGCUGGCGGCAUGCCUAACACAUGCAAGUCGAACGAGACCUUUCGGGGUCUAGUGGCGCACGGGUGCGUAACGCGUGGGAAUCUGGCCUUGGGUUCGGAAUAACAGUUAGAAAUGACUGCUAAUACCGGAUAAUAUCGCGAGAUCAAAGAUUUAUCGCCCAGGGAUGAGCCCGCGUAGGAUUAGCUAGUUGGUGAGGUAAUGGCUCACCAAGGCGACGAUCCUUAGCUGGUCUGAGAGGAUGAUCAGCCACACUGGGACUGAGACACGGCCCAGACUCCUACGGGAGGCAGCAGUGGGGAAUAUUGGACAAUGGGCGCAAGCCUGAUCCAGCAAUGCCGCGUGAGUGAUGAAGGCCUUAGGGUUGUAAAGCUCUUUUACCAGGGAUGAUAAUGACAGUACCUGGAGAAUAAGCUCCGGCUAACUCCGUGCCAGCAGCCGC
rnacentral:rRNA from 1 species